AGAGCGUACGGUGGAUGCCUUGGCACCAGGAGCCGAUGAAGGACGUAGGAGGCUGCGAUAAGCCUCGGGGAGCUGUCAACCGAGCUGUGAUCCGAGGAUGUCCGAAUGGGGAAACCCAGCACGAGUGAUGUCGUGUUACCCGCGCCUGAAUAUAUAGGGCGUGUGGAGGGAACGUGGGGAAGUGAAACAUCUCAGUACCCACAGGAAGAGAAAACAACCGUGAUUCCGUGAGUAGUGGCGAGCGAAAGCGGAAGAGGCUAAACCAUGGGUGUGUGAUAGCCGGCAGGUGUUGCAUUCGUGGGGUUGUGGGGUUCAUUUUGUCAAUACUGCCGUGUUGGCCAACAGUAAGAAAUCACAGGGUUAGUGGAAGUGGUCUGGAACGGCCUGUCGUAGAGGGUGAGAAUCCCGUACACGAAAACUUUGUGACUGUUGUAAUGGAAACCCAAGUAGCACCGGGCCCGUGAAAUCUGGUGUGAAUCUGUCGGGACCACCCGAUAAGCCUGAAUACUCCCUGGUGACCGAUAGCGGACUAGUACCGUGAGGGAAAGGUGAAAAGUACCCCGGGAGGGGAGUGAAAUAGUACCUGAAACCGUGCGCUUACAAUCCGUCAGAGCCUUCGAGCAGUUUACUGCUGGGGGUGAUGGCGUGCCUUUUGAAGAAUGAGCCUGCGAGUUAGUGGCAUGUCGCGAGGUUAACCCGUGUGGGGUAGCCGUAGCGAAAGCGAGUCCGAAUAGGGCGAUCGUAGUGGCAUGCUCUAGACCCGAAGCGGAGUGAUCUACCCAUGGCCAGGUUGAAGCGACGGUAAGACGUCGUGGAGGACCGAACCCACUUAGGUUGAAAACUGAGGGGAUGAGUUGUGGGUAGGGGUGAAAGGCCAAUCAAACUCCGUGAUAGCUGGUUCUCCCCGAAAUGCAUUUAGGUGCAGCGUCGCGUGUUUCUCACCGGAGGUAGAGCUACUGGAUGGUCUAGGGGGCCCACAAGCUUACCGAAAUCAGCCAAACUCCGAAUGCCGGUGAGUGAGAGCGCGGCAGUGAGACUGCGGGCGAUAAGGUUCGUAGUCGAGAGGGAAACAGCCCAGAUCGCCAGCUAAGGUCCCUAAGCGUGUACUAAGUGGAAAAGGAUGUGGGGUCGCGAAGACAACCAGGAGGUUGGCUUAGAAGCAGCCACCCUUGAAAGAGUGCGUAAUAGCUCACUGGUCAAGUGAUCCUGCGCCGACAAUGUAGCGGGGCUCAAGUACACCACCGAAGCUGCGGCAUUCACGCAAUAGCCCCCAGUUGAUCCACGGAUUUUCUGGCAGGUGUGUGGAUGGGUAGGGGAGCGUCGUGUGGCCAUGGAAGCGGCAGGGUGACCUAGCCGUGGAGGCCACACGAGUGAGAAUGCAGGCAUGAGUAGCGAAAGACGAGUGAGAAACUCGUCCGCCGAAUGACCAAGGGUUCCUGGGCCAGGUUAAUCCGCCCAGGGUGAGUCGGGACCUAAGACGAGGCCGACAGGCGUAGCCGAUGGACAACGGGUUGAUAUUCCCGUACCCGUGUGAACGCGCCCAUGGUGAAUCAGUGAUACUAACCAUCCUGAAGCCACGAGAAGACCUUCGGGUCUCGAGUUGGUGGAUGCAUGGGACCUGAUCUGGUAGUAGCCAAGCGAUGGGGUGACGCAGGAAGGUAGCUGAGCCAGUCAGUGGUAAUACUGGUGUAAGCGUGUAGGGCGUGACCUAGGCAAAUCCGGGUCGCACAUAGCCUGAGACGUGAUGCGUAGCCGAUUGAGGCGAAUUCAGUGAUCCUAUGCUGCCGAGAAAAGCCUCUAGCGAGCUUUCACACGGCCCGUACCCCAAACCGACACAGGUGGUCAGGUAGAGAAUACUAAGGCGAUCGAGAUAACUAUGGUUAAGGAACUCGGCAAAAUGCCCCCGUAACUUCGGGAGAAGGGGGGCCCUGUCUGGUGACGACAUUUACUGUCUGAGCUGGGUGGGGCCGCAGAGACCAGUGAGAAGCGACUGUUUACUAAAAACACAGGUCCGUGCGAAGUCGUAAGACGAUGUAUACGGACUGACGCCUGCCCGGUGCUGGAAGGUUAAGAGGACCGGUUAGUUCCUUCGGGAGCGAAGCUGAGAAUUUAAGCCCCAGUAAACGGCGGUGGUAACUAUAACCAUCCUAAGGUAGCGAAAUUCCUUGUCGGGUAAGUUCCGACCUGCACGAAUGGCGUAACGACUUCUCAGCUGUCUCAACCGUAGACUCGGCGAAAUUGCAUUACGAGUAAAGAUGCUCGUUACGCGCGGCAGGACGAAAAGACCCCGGGACCUUCACUACAGCUUGGUAUUGGUGUUCGGUUCGGUUUGUGUAGGAUAGGUGGGAGACUGUGAAGCGGUGACGCCAGUUAUCGUGGAGUCGUUGUUGAAAUACCACUCUGAUCGAAUUGGACCUCUAACCUCGGACCAUGAUCUGGUUCAGGGACAGUGCCUGGUGGGUAGUUUAACUGGGGCGGUUGCCUCCCAAAAUGUAACGGAGGCGCCCAAAGGUUCCCUCAGCCUGGUUGGCAAUCAGGUGUCGAGUGCAAGUGCACAAGGGAGCUUGACUGUGAGACUGACAGGUCGAGCAGGGACGAAAGUCGGGACUAGUGAUCCGGCACCGGCAAGUGGAAGCGGUGUCGCUCAACGGAUAAAAGGUACCCCGGGGAUAACAGGCUGAUCUUCCCCAAGAGUCCAUAUCGACGGGAUGGUUUGGCACCUCGAUGUCGGCUCGUCGCAUCCUGGGGCUGGAGUAGGUCCCAAGGGUUGGGCUGUUCGCCCAUUAAAGCGGCACGCGAGCUGGGUUUAGAACGUCGUGAGACAGUUCGGUCUCUAUCCGCCGCGCGCGUUAGAAACUUGAGGAAGGCUGUCCCUAGUACGAGAGGACCGGGACGGACGAACCUCUGGUGUGCCAGUUGUUCCGCCAGGAGCACCGCUGGUUAGCUACGUUCGGAAGGGAUAACCGCUGAAAGCAUCUAAGCGGGAAGCCUGUUCCAAGAUGAGGUUUCU
rnacentral:rRNA from 1 species